rnacentral:rRNA from 1 species
UACGAAGGGUGCAAGCGUUGCUCGGAAUUAUUGGGCGUAAAGCGCACGUAGGCGGCAUUGCAAGUCCCAUGUGAAAGCCCACGGCUUAACCGUGGAAGUGCAUGGGAAACUGCAGUGCUUGAGUACUUAAGAGGAUCGCGGAAUUCCCGGUGUAGAGGUGAAAUUCGUAGAUAUCGGGAGGAACACCGGCGGCGAAGGCGGCGAUCUGGGUAGAUACUGACGCUGAGGUGCGAAAGCGUGGGGAGCAAACAGG